GAUGACCUCUGAAGUCUAAUGGUCAUUAUUCCGGAAUGAUACACCGGAAGUCCUGGAUUCGAUUCCCAGUCGGUCAGAUUAAAAUGGAAAAUAAUAAUUUUCAAAUUGAAACAAAGAUAUAUAGUUGGCAAACAAGUACGCGGGUUACCUGAUGAUGUAGAGAUUACAACACGGAGUACUUCAUAAAGGGCAUGACAUGAUUCAUCCAAGGUAGACACAGGGCAACACUCUUUUGCAAGCAUCCGAAAUAAGGGAAAAAGAUAUGAAGGAAUUUAAAUAGUAAUGGAAGGAGUUUUAAGAGAAAUAAAAUUGUAAACGCACUAGAAAUUUAAAUGAAACUAGAAAUGUGAAGAAAUAACAAAGAAUACGAAAAAAACAAGAUUU